UCCCCGCCCUGUCUUCUCUGGUCUCCCUCUGUCUUGCUCUGCCUCCACACUCUCCACUGGUCAGCCAAAACCUCUACCAGGUCAACCACCACCGUCCGAUCAUUCGCCGCCGUAUCACCAUCAAAAUCCACCGUCUCCCAACCUCCUUCCAGAUUGUCCUCCCUCGGCGACAAGAAUCCUCUUCUAACGGACUUCAAUUUCCCGCCGUUUGAUUCGAUUGAGGCCGUGCACGUCCGCCCUGGCAUCCGCGCUUUGCUGAAGCAACUCGAGGGAGAAUUGGAGGAAUUGGAGAAGACGGUGGAGCCGACGUCGCCCAAAUUGGUGGAGCCGUUAAAGAAGAUAAUUGAUCGGAUUAGUGUGGUUUGGGGAGCAAUCAACCACCUCAAGUCCGUUAAGGACAGCUCUGAGCUUCGUGCUGCCAUUGAAGAAGUGCAGGGAAAAGUUAUAUCACUGUAUUGCUUUUGGUGCUUAUAAAGCUAUACGGGAAUCUCCUGAUUGGGAUUCGCUGAGUGAUGCUCGUAAACGGAUAGUUGAAAGUAUGUCUUUGAACUCUGCCCUGUUUGAUUUGGCAGCAUCAAUUAAGGAGGCCAUAUUGAGUGGCAUUGCUCUUGAAGAUGAUAAAAGAGAGCAAUUUAACAAAAUUGAGCAGGAGCUGGCAAGACUAUUGCGAAAGUUUGAGGAAAAUGUUCUGGAUGCCACAAAAAGUAUGAAAAGGUAAUUACAGACAAGAAAGAUAUUGAAGGAUUGCCUGCUACAGCACUUGGAUUGGCUGCCCAGACUGCAGUUACUAAGGGGUAUGAAAAUGCUACUGCUGGACCAUGAAUAAUCACAUUGGAUGCGCCGAGUUUUAUGUCUGUGAUGCAACAUGCUAGAAAUCGAACCUUGAGGGAGGAAGUUUACCGUGCUUAUGUGACACGUGCUUCUAGUGGAGAUCUGGCUAACACAACGAUAAUUGAUCAGAUUCUACAACUUAGGUUGGAACAGGCUAAGCUUCUUGGCUAUAAUAACCAUGGAGAGGUAAGCAUGGCUACUAAGAUGGCGACUGUUGAUAAGGCACUAGAGCUCCUUGAAAAGAUUCGUGCUGCAUCUUGGGAUCCUGCAGUUAAAGGGAAUCUACUAGUAUGGUUUUUAGUUCAUUGCUUUUGGCCAGUUAAAACAUAAUAAGUGUAUGCUUUUGAUUCAAAUCUGACAUGAAGAAAGUGUUAAAAGUCUGAUGGCUUUAGUAUGUCACUUAUGUAAUAUUUUAAAUUUUUUCACUUGACAGGAUUUGCUAGCAUUUAUUUCUUAGUUCAACAUAUUUAUAUUGGUUAAAACUGUAGAGUUCCAUCAUAUAUUCCCUCAAGCUUUGCUUUUUUAAAAGCAAAGUGGAAAGGUAAGUAAAGAAUUGUACUUCUAUAGAUUUCAGCUUGUUGACAACAUUAUUUAAAUUAGAUUUUUAACCAAGUGUUCUAUGCAAGUUCUGAUAUUCCUGGUUUGUCAAAUUUUAGCAUGCUCUUAUGCUUUUAUCUAAUUUAAUGGCCUAUUUCUUUCCUGCCUCACAUUUUCUUUACUGCCUAAAGUUGUUUUCUAGAACUCAGAUUACCCUAGCUUGGGAAUAGUAAUAAAGCUGACACUAUUUUUUUAACUCGUAGUAUAAAUAUCAAUAUUCUGGUCAAUGACCGUCCAAUCCUGUAUUGCCACUUUCCUUCUCUGCUUGAGAUUACUGUAUUUGCCUUCACUUUUUUAUUGGCUUCUCCAUCUCUGCCCUAUAUUUCCAUGCCCUAUGUUUUCAGCUGCUCUAGGUAGAUUAACUGAACACCCCUGGGUAACUAACUAAACUUAAGGUAGAGGCUUUUGGCGUCCAAACAAACAACUGUAAUUAUGUUGGUCAACUCAAGAUGCUGUCAAGCUAGGAACUAAUUUUACAUGGGGAAGAACAUUUUGCAUUAUAGAAUUCUAGUUAAUAAUCUUGUAAAGACAUUGGGAAAAAGUAGAGCAGCUGAUUCUAGGGACCCUACAGUUCUUGUCUUUGUUAAGACUACAACCAUUAUAUGUGGAACAGAUAUGGUUAAUUAUACUCUUUAAACUCGUGAACUCAAGGGUUGAUUGGCGCAUUUAGGUUUCAUUGAUUGGCUGUUUGAUGUUCGCUUUUGGUGAAACCUAGAGUUCACUGUCAUCGUCUUCCGAACCGGUACCCCAUCAAGCUCCAAGGAGUAUUUGGUUACGUAUGUGUAAGGACUUGCUUAGUUAUUGCUCAUACGUAGUUCCUUCCACUUGUAUUCCUUGGAAACUUGUGGUGUCCUUUUUUGGUUAAGUUAUUUUUCUUGGUUCCUCAUGGAAAUUUUGCUGUUUUUUUCCCUACACAAAUUAUCUAUAAAUUCUUAAGAAAAUUGCAUUAUGAAAUUUUUGUAAUUCCAUCUUGCGAAGUCAGUGUAGCUUGUCACCUGCAGCCGGUACAUUUCACCUCAAGCAAGGACUGGUUUACGACAGAGGGAACAUCUGUUACUUCGAUUCGACUCCUCAUUUAUACCUUGUGAACAAGGUCUUCCCGGUGACCAAUUAUUAAAUUCUUCGAAUCUGAUUUUUUUUUUUUUUUUCAAUGAAUUCUGUGGUUUCUAAAUACACACUCGUGGGUUGCUGCCAAAGGCCAAGAAAAGGAAUGACGAGAAGAAGAAUGGAAAGAAUAAUAGCAACAAUAAGUUCUUGAUUACUAUAAACAUCCUUGGUAGCGCUGGACCCAUAAGGUUUGUGGUGAACGAGGAUGACAGUGUCUCAGAAGGGAUGGAUGCAGCUCUAAACUUUAUGCCCACCAGGAGCGCUUUCCUGUUUUUGGUUCUGAUGUAAACAGUUUCCUUCUCUGUCCAGCCAAUGCAGGAUUGGACAGUAGGGAUCUUGUCAAUCCAGUUUUCAAGAUUUUAUGUUCAAAUUCUUGUUUUGGCCCUUGGUCCUUAUUUGUAUUACCGCUAAAUUUUGGCAUACCCGUUCUAGUAUCUCCAAUUAUUUUUAUUUUUAUUUUAUUUUUAUCAAGCUGUAGCAAAUUGGCAUUGAACUUAGUCCUCAACCUUUGAAGUAAGAUUAAUUCACGUGCCAAUUGUUGCAGCUCUUAACCUAUCAGAGUCAAUAGGAUUGCAGGGAGUGAGGAACUUUGUCCUCUGCAAGAAGCAGAGGCAGCCACAGAUGACAGCAGCAAGCAAGGUCGGAGAUGAUUUCUCGUAAGAGAAGUGGCAGUUGGGUGAAGGCGUGGUUUAACGAGUCCCUGAGCUUCAAGAUGUUAUCGCUCUGAUAUUCAUGUAUUCAGAAUUGGAAGUAAAUGGGCAUCCCCAGAUUUUGUAAAUCAUCUAAAAUAUUUGCAAACAGAAUUUGGCUGUCCCAGUCACUUGAGGUCAGAAGUUUCAUCAACCUGGCAGUCUUGCACACGCAUCUUAAUAAUUUCAUGAGGAUUAUCACAGAUAAUCACUGACCAGAUCUGCAUUCUAUUUCAAUUAGCAUGUGAUAGAGAUCCAAAUGCCACCAUGUGUUGAAUGUUGAUGCUCUAGCUCCACGUGAAUUUCGAAGUCUUGCGAGUAGUGAAUGAACUACAGACUUUUGCAGUGACUAUGGAGCCAGCCAACUAGACUCAUAUGGACUAUCCUCGUUUGGCAUUUCGGGCCAAAAAGAAAGGGUUAAUCGCUCUCUGCCCCAAGAAGGUAGGGCAGUUACAUUCUAUCACACCCAACUUCUGUAGUAUACACUUUAUCCCCCACUGCUUGACCAACGUUAUAAGGCUUAACACUGUCACGCAAGAUGGGGAAAAAAAAGGUUGAAAAGACUUGAAUAGCCAUGAUUUGUUAGUGAAGGGACAACUAUACCCUUGUGUUGGGAGCAAGGGGGAAAGCCAUGGCACGCACAUGAACUAGAAGAGGCAAAAAAAAAAAAAAAUGAAGUUGUUAUUGCUGAAGUGAAAUUAUAUUCGUUGCCAAACGUAAG